GCCGGAAUAGCUCAGUUGGUAAAG
rnacentral:tRNA from 1 species